rfam:Trichosporon asahii var. asahii CBS 8904 unplaced genomic scaffold scaffold00167, whole genome shotgun sequence.
GGCGAGAUGGCCGAGCGGUCUAAGGCGCUGUGUUAAGGUGAUUUGUUUCUCCUCCGCAGUCUUCGGACGUGGGUUCGAAUCCCACUCUCGUCA